rnacentral:rRNA from 1 species
UUUGNCCCACUGUUUGUCGGGAUAGGAUUAAGACAUGCUAGUUGAGCGCUUCAGGCUAUGUUGAAGCGCAGCAUACAGCUCAGUAACACGUGGCCAACCUACCCUUGGGACGAGGACACCCCCGGGAAACUGGGGUUAAUCCUCGAUAGGUGAGAGUUUCUGGAAGGAGUUCUUGCUGAAAGGGCGUCUAAAACAUGCCUUUUAGACUUCGCCCAAGGAUGGGGCCGCGGCCGAUCAGGUAGUUGGUGAGGUAACGGCUCACCAAGCCCAUAACCGGUACGGGCUGUGAGAGCGGGAGCCCGGAGAUGGGCACUGAGACAAGGGUCCAGGCCCUACGGGGCGCAGCANUCGCGAAAACUCCGCAAUACACGAAAGUGUGACGGGGCUAACCCGAGUGCCGUCCAUAAGGAUGGCUUUUCCCUAAUGUAAUAAGCUGGGGGAAUAAGGAGAGGGCAAGACUGGUGUCAACCCGCCGCGGUAAUACCAACUUUUCNAGUGGUGGGGAUGUUUAUUGGGCCUAAAAGUAUUCGUAGCCGGCUGGGCAAAGUNCUCUUGUUAAAUNCAACGAUUCAAUCGNUGGGCUUCAAGGGAUACUGUCCGGCUNGGAAGCCGGAAGAAGCCNACGGUAUUUUCCGGGGUAAGGGUGNAAUCCUAUUAUUCCCGGGAGGACCAUCAAUGGCCAAAGGUUUCGGNUUGGAACCCCUCGACG